rnacentral:rRNA from 1 species
GUCUACGGCCAUAUCACCCUAAAUGAGCCUAAUUUCAUCUGAUCUCAGAAGGUAAACAAGGUCAGGCCUGGUUAGUACGUGGAUG